GACACUUGAUUUCUUCAUUGUUUAUGUUUAAUGGAUGACAGAUUUUGACAGUUGAACUUGAAGACGGUUCGGUUGUGUGGUUUGAAUUUUAUUUAUUUAUUCACAAUAUUACAUCGGAAACAACAGGUAUGAAUGAGAUUGGAGGAGGUGGAUGCCUGGAUGCUGAUGUGAGCUGGGCGGGCGGGCAUCGUGACGUCACUCCACCCUUCUGUCAUCGCCCGAAGCCUCCAAGUAGGGCAUGACAGGUUGAACGAGUAGUUGAUGAGGUGGUCCAGCCUUCACCAGACCUCCCCUCCUCACCCCCUCACCAUCUCACCAUCACACCACUGUGUGACGAAGCUCCAGACUAGUUCCCAUCAGUGAGCAGAGUGAGAGGAGAGGAGAACAGCACAGCGAGCGAAGUGAGUUCUGAGCGGUUGCAUGGAGGAGGAUUGUCAUUUGGUUGGUGUUGCUAGAGUGAGAGAAGAGAUGGAGCGGACGCUGCAUUAUCAGGACAUGGAGGAGAGAGACAGACAACGCCAAAGGAUGGCCUGCUCAAACGGAACAGUAGGAAGAAGAAGAAAGAUAGAAGACGCAGAAAAGAAGAUAAACUUUAACAAAAUAGUGGGACUCUAGUGUAAGAGUUUAUAUAAAAUGAAAACUACAAACAUUGACAUUGAAAAGUGCAUAACAGUGAAUUAUUGAUGUGAAGUGAUAGUGAAACGACUCGAAUUUACUUUCAUUUUCAAAAGACGUUGAAUUGAUUUGUAUUUUGUUUGUUUGAGAUGUUGUUGAUAUUGUGCAUGUUUUGCUGUAUAUUAUAAAUGCCCAUGGGGGGUGGGUAUUUUCAGGCAUCGCGGAGGCAGCUGCACGGACGGACUGCGCAGAACUUCAAUCAAGGUAAAAGUCAGCUCUCGACCGAUUCUAACAGUUCAGUCUAGUUUUUUAAAAUUUUUAUUUCUUGAAGUUUUAUUUUGGAUUCAUUUUUUUCCAGAUCUGAUUAAUUUUCUCCUCUUUCAGUGAGUUGAUAACAUUAUUAAUCCACUAAAAUAGGAGAAAAUUAUCAACUUUGAAUUUCACUUCUUAAUCUAUUUAAGUCCUAAAUUUUAUUCUUUUCUUGAAGAAGAAAUUAGUGUCUUGUUGAACUGUUAGAUCGGUCCUGGGCGACUUGUGUGGAAUUAGUAAUUGCAUGUCUGGAUCAUCACCCCCUAAUUUUUUUCAGCUUUUAUACUUUUGAAUUUGUUUUUAUUUUCAGUUGCCUUGGUUUUUCUUUAGUUGUUUCCUUUUAUUAUUUUUUUUUAACUUCCCUGCUCUUUAUUUUUUUUCAGUUUCUUAUUUUCAGUUGCUUUGGAGGUGAACCUUCAGUUCAAAUUCAAUAUCGAAGUAUAUGUCGAUAAGGGAUGUUUUGUUUAGUUUGUUUCUUUUGAUUUCUUCAAAACUGUCCCCGAUUUUAUUUCAGUUUUUUAUAUUCAGUUUGGCAUUUUUCUUCAGUUGUUCCUUUUCAUUUCUUGUUAACUAUCUCCAUCUACUUGGAGUUUUUCAUAUUUAUUGUACUAAAUUAGAUUAGAUUGUAAAUUUCUGGGGUGCUGCCACACUGUUUGCCUUUUUUCAGAAGGAAAUCGUCGUCAUCAUUAAUUUGUUUACUGUUUUUGUCUUUGUUGUGUGUUGUUGCAUCUCUCAAAAUAUUGUAAUUUUUUCAAUUGUAAUAAGUUUGUACAUUGUAAAGUGUAAUUUCAUGUACUCCCUUCCUUCUCAUUGCAGCACCAUCCAUUCAUAUUUCUAACUUUGUCACUUUAUCUCCUCUUUUUUCUCAAUUUCGUUUCCAACUUCUUGGCUUCCCGAUGAUUCAAAACCUACCUUGACCUGUAGGUCCACUCAUCUCUCAUCAUUAUUCAUUCUAUUACCCACCCACGCACAAGCCUAGAGCUCAUGUGGGCAUUAUCCAAUUCAUUUCUUUCAUUUUCAAUUCCUCAAUUGUUUUACUAUUUCCGACCACCUUUCGUAUAAAAUGAUCUUUCCCUCACUUUAGCUGCAUUUACACCAAAGUUAUUAACAAAAUGUUGAUAGAUUCUAUUAAAUUGAACGGAACUUGACAAACACAUAAAUGUUCAUCAUGUGUAUGAUAAGUUAUGUUCAAUCUAAUUGAAUCCAUAAAGAUUAUUAACUUUGGUGUAAACGCAGCUUUUAUGAAUUCAUUACUCUCAAAUUGUAAACCCCUAAAUCUAAAUUAAUAUCAAAAUUAAGUUCCCAAUCUUCAGUGUAACCUGAAUCUUUGUCUAUUUGAAGAGCCGUCUCUGCUAAGAAUAAUUUUAAUCUCACUUAAUAAUUAAAAUCCCACUUAAUGAUAAUUAAAAUGCCAUUCAAUAAUAUAAUAAUCCCGUUUGAAACUAGGUCCACUUACCUCUCAUUAUCAUUCUAUCUAUUUUACCCACGCACAAGCCUGUAACUUAUGUGGGAAUCAUAUUCUGCUUAAAAAUCGAUUCAAAAUCUAAAUUUUGAUCCAUUUUUAAACAUAAAUUUACACAUUCCUUUCACCCUACCACAUUGUCAUUAAUUUUACUCCCAUUGUAGUAAUCACCUGAAAUCAAUCGUUAGUUUCUUUUUAAUUAUUAUUUAACGAGAAUCCCAAUUAAAUGCUGUAAAUCAGCAUUUAAUUGGGAUUUUCGUUAAAUAAUAAUUAUACAUUAACUAGCAUUUGAACAAAUGCAAUCUCUAAUUUAAUUCCAUCUGUAGAUUAGUUUCUUUCCCUAAUUCCAAGUUCACCAAUAUUAACUAGGAACUUAAUUUUGAUAUUAAUUCAGUUGUGUCUCCAUCAUCCAUUAUUCUGUCUCUCUCAUUGUAUUAUUGUUUGUCUCACCACCAUUCCUUACUAAUUUCAUUUCUCUCACCCCCCCCCCACCCACCAUACCAAGCAAUUCUUACUUACCUUAUUACCUCGUAUUACCUUCACUUGCCUCUCCCCCCCUGCCCACUACAUCUAAUAAUAUUAUUCUCCCCCUUCCUGUCAUCUACAUGAAAUUAUUUUCAGUUAUAGUUUAACUUUUUCUUCUCAUAUUGUUUUCUUCAAUCUAUUAAUUUAAACUAGAAUUGAACUGUUCAUUACCCAAGUGUUGUUGACUGCACUCAAUGAACAGUUCAAUUCUAGCUUAAAUUAAUAGGUUAAAGUUUCGUAUUGUAUUAUCAUAGAGUAUUUAUCUUACUUCUUAGCACACUUUCUACUUGCAUUGCUUUUCAAUUGUUCCAAUAAUUAGCAUGAAUAUUGUGACAGAUGCAACAGCACUAGUGUGGUAGCACUCCUAGCUUAUAUUCUCCCCCCACUCUUAUGGCCUAGACAUGCACUUACCAAUACCAUUGAUUUAUUCCACUUCUGGAGGGGCACCACCCUCUUCUAUUCGUUCAAGUGAGUGUUGCCCCUUGGAAAGGGGAACCACUCUUUUUUGCCCCCUCAGGGGAACUUUCCCUCUCCCUUUCGAGGGGGAAGGAGAGCCCCCUCUGGGGGAUUUGUCCCUCUCCCUUCUGGGGAGGGAAAACUGUCACUUGGCUCUGAGUGGUCCAAUUAGGCUCAAUGCGCCCUUUGGCGUGGGUGGGACCACUCGCUACAUUGGGGGGGGGGGGCAGGACCGCUUGGAGCCAGGUGCCAGUAUUGGACGUUGAGGUUAGUGCCCGGUUUUUUUUGUGGGCCUAUCCGACAGUAAACGUUUCACUGUAAACCUGAAUCU
rnacentral:lncRNA from 1 species